CCUACGGGUGGCUGCAGUCGAGGAUCAUUCGCAAUGGGCGAAAGCCUGACGAUGCGACGCCGCGUGGAGGAUGACGGCCUUCGGGUUGUAAACUCCUGUCAUGAGGGAAGAGGAGAGUGUCACUAACAUUGACGCGAUUUGACGGUACCUCAAGAGGAAGCCACGGCUAACUCUGUGCCAGCAGCCGCGGUAAUACAGAGGUGGCGAGCGUUGUUCGGAUUUACUGGGCGUAAAGGGCGCGUAGGCGGCCGCGUGUGUGGGGUGUGAAAUCUCCGGGCUCAACCCGGAAAGUGCGCCCCAAACUGCGCGGCUGGAGUGCGGGAGGGGAGAUCGGAAUGCAGGGUGUAGCGGUGAAAUGCGUUGAUAUCCUGCAGAACACCGGUGGCGAAGGCGGAUCUCUGGAACGCAACUGACGCUGAGGCGCGAAAGUCGGGGGAGCAAACAGGAUUAGAUACCCCGGUAGUC
rnacentral:rRNA from 1 species